rnacentral:rRNA from 1 species
CCUACGGGUGGCAGCAGUGAGGAAUAUUGGUCAAUGGGCGGGAGCCUGAACCAGCCAAGUCGCGUGCAGGAAGAAGGCGCUAGGCGUCGUAAACUUCUUUUGUCCGGGAAUAAAGGGCGCCACGCGUGGUGUUGUGAGUGUACCCGAAGAAAAAGCAUCGGCUAAUUCCGUGCCAGCAGCCGCGGUAAUACGGAGGAUUCGGGCGUUAUCCGGAUUUACUGGGUUUAAAGGGAGCGUAGAUGGGUUGUAAAGUCCGUUGUGAAAGUUUGGGGCUUAACCCCAAAAUUGCAAUGGAUACUGGCAGGCUUGAGUGCAGUUGGGGUAGGCGGAAUUCGUAGUGUAGCGGUGAAAUGCUUAGAUAUCAGGAAGAACUCCGGUUGCGAAGGCAGCUUACUAAACUGCAACUGACAUUGAGGCUCGAAAGUGUGGGUAGCAAACAGGAUUAGAUACCCUUGUAGUC